AGAGUUUGAUCAUGGCUCAGAUUGAACGCUGGCGGCAUGCCUUACACAUGCAAGUCGAACGGCAGCACGGGGGCAACCCUGGUGGCGAGUGGCGAACGGGUGAGUAACAUAUCGGAACGUGCCCUGGAGUGGGGGAUAACUAGUCGAAAGAUUAGCCAAUACCGCAUACGAUCUACGGAUGAAAGUGGGGGAUCGCAAGACCUCAUGCUCGUGGAGCGGCCGAUAUCUGAUUAGCUAGUUGGUGGGGUAAAGGCCUACCAAGGCAUCGAUCAGUAGCUGGUCUGAGAGGACGACCAGCCACACUGGGACUGAGACACGGCCCAGACUCCUACGGGAGGCAGCAGUGGGGAAUUUUGGACAAUGGGCGCAAGCCUGAUCCAGCAAUGCCGCGUGAGUGAAGAAGGCCUUCGGGUUGUAAAGCUCUUUUGUCAGGGAAGAAACGGUGGGGGCUAAUAUCCCUUGCUAAUGACGGUACCUGAAGAAUAAGCACCGGCUAACUACGUGCCAGCAGCCGCGGUAAUACGUAGGGUGCAAGCGUUAAUCGGAAUUACUGGGCGUAAAGCGUGCGCAGGCGGUUGUGCAAGACCGAUGUGAAAUCCCCGGGCUUAACCUGGGAAUGGCAUUGGUGACUGCACGGCUAGAGUGUGUCAGAGGGGGGUAGAAUUCCACGUGUAGCAGUGAAAUGCGUAGAGAUGUGGAGGAAUACCGAUGGCGAAGGCAGCCCCCUGGGAUAACACUGACGCUCAUGCACGAAAGCGUGGGGAGCAAACAGGAUUAGAUACCCCGGUAGUCC
rnacentral:rRNA from 1 species